rnacentral:rRNA from 1 species
CGCUGGAGAACUGAGGGGGGCUGCUCCUAGUACGAGAGGACCGGAGUGGACGCAUCACUGGUGUUCGGGUUGUCAUGCCAAUGGCACUGCCCGGUAGCUAAAUGCGGAAGAGAUAAGUGCUGAAAGCAUCUAAGCACGAAACUUGCCCCGAGAUGAGUUCUCCCUGACCCUUUAAGGGUCCUGAAGGAACGUUGAAGACGACGACGUUGAUAGGCCGGGUGUGUAAGCGCAGCGAUGCGUUGAGCUAACCGGUACUAAUGAACCGUGAGGCUUAACCUU